rnacentral:rRNA from 1 species
GAUGAACGCUGGCGGUGUGCCUAAUACAUGCAAGUCGAGCGCAGGAAACUGACGGAACUCUUCGGAGGGAAGGCAGUGGAAUGAGCGGCGGACGGGUAAGUAACACGUAAGGAACCUGCCUCAAGGAUUGGGAUAACUCCGAGAAAUCGGAGCUAAUACCGGAUAGUUCAUCGGACCGCAUGGUCCGUGGAUGAAAGGCGCUCCGGCGUCACCUUGAGAUGGCCUUGCGGUGCAUUAGCUAGUUGGUGGGGUAACGGCCCACCAAGGCGACGAUGCAUAGCCGACCUGAGAGGGUGAUCGGCCACACUGGGACUGAGACACGGCCCAGACUCCUACGGGAGGCAGCAGUAGGGAAUCUUCCACAAUGGACGAAAGUCUGAUGGAGCAACGCCGCGUGAGUGAUGAAGGUUUUCGGAUCGUAAAACUCUGUUGUAAGGGAAGAACACGUACGAGAGGAAAUGCUCGUACCUUGACGGUACCUUACGAGAAAGCCACGGCUAACUACGUGCCAGCCGCCGCGGUAAUAC